rnacentral:sRNA from 1 species
GUGCAGCUUCAAGCUUAGGACCACCCACCAUGCCCAUCCAGGUGCUGAAGGGUCUGACCAUCACUCGGUAAGAACAGAGGAGACUGCCUGUUACUCGUGAUGGCGUGGCUGCAGCCAUGGGUAGGAAAGUGCUGGCACCCACCCACCUGGGCCGGAGCUGGUUCUGCUCCUGCUACAGGGACACUGAGCUGGCUAUCUCGGCACUUCGGGCAAGAACUGCAACAGGCUCUCCUGGGUCCUGCAGGUGUACAGCCGGGCCCCUGCCUUGUGCCUCAGCUCUGGAGAGCUGCUGCUGCUGGGUGACCUGAUCCAACCUGACAAGGUGCCAUCUUCAGCUACCACUGCAAGGCCCUGAGGGCAACAGCACCACAGCACUGCCCACCCGGCUGCUGAUGGCCUGGUGCCAGCUGGGAGUCCUCCCGCCACUUGGAGGCCACUGAGCCGCCCUUCCAGCCUCGGCCCACCAUGGACAGGGGUAUCCAGCUUCCUCCUCAACCUCGUCCUCUGCCCCUGAGCCAGUGACGCCCAAGGACAUGUCUGUUACCUGGCUCCUGUACCAGCGUGAGCUGGUCAAGGGCAUGACAGUGCUGGAGGCCGUCCUGGAGAUCCAGGCCAUCACUGACAGCAGGCUGCUCUCCAUGGUGCCAGGGCCCGCCAGGCCACCAGGCUCAUGCUGGGACCCAACCCAGUGCACAAGGACUUGGCUGCUGAGCCACACACCCAGGAGAAGGUGGAUAAGUGGGCUACCAAGGGCUUCCUGCAGGCUGGGGGAGGAGCUGCCC